rnacentral:rRNA from 1 species
AACGAACGCUGGCGGCAUGCCUAACACAUGCAAGUCGAACGAAAAGUUCCGGCCUUUGGGCGCACGGGUGCUUAACGCCUGGUAACUUGCACUUAGGUUAGCAAUAACUGCCCGUGGGAGGUCCUAAUAACACUUGAUCUAUUCCGACCUAAGAUGUACCGCCUUUGGAUGGGGGCGCGUUGGAUUCGCUGGUUGGUAGGGUACAAGCAUACCAACGCGACGAUGCAUAGCUGGUGUGUGAGGAUGACCAGCCAGACUGGGACUGAGACACGGCCCAGACUGCUAGGGGAGGCAGCAGUAGAGAAUAUUGGGGGAGGGGCGAAAGUCUGAUCCAGCAAUGCCGCGUGAGUGAGGAAGGCCGUAGGGUUGUAAAGCUCUUUUACCCGGGAUGAUAAUGACAGUACCGGGAGAAUAAGCUCCGGCUAACUCCGUG